AUCCACUUAUACAUUUUAUGGUGGCAACAUUUUAUAUUUUGUCCAAGCACAAGUCUUUUUCGAUGGGAAAAACGUUACGAAACGUGGUAUAAAUUACAUGCUUGUUUCAGUGGAACUGCGGUAGCUUUUGGUUUUUCUGAAGGUUUAUUAACGUUUUGCCCAGAAAAUUUUACAAACAUUCUACCGUUCACAUACUGUUGGUUACUACGUUCUGUAUUAUUUGGAGGAGGCUUUUUUCUUCUUUCUGUUGGUAUUAUUAUAGCCGUGAUACAUUACGAAAUGGAGCGAAGUCAUGUGUAUAUAGGUUUAACCAGCAUAAUUUUACUCAUGGUUUUCAUCUUCUACGUAAUCAUAAAUUGGUAUUGUCAAAAUUUUACUAAAUCCUUAAAAUUUUUCCAAUAUAUUAUUGGAUUAAACGGAUAUAUAUUAGCAAUGGUGGCACUAAUCAUUUCGUAUCAUCGAGGAAAUUCUUGUUACAUUUUUAGUCAUAAUUUGAAUAAAGGCUGGGUUCAAGAACUUGGAGGCGUAUGUGAAAUUAAAUGGAUCAUAACUAUAAUGAUAUUUUAUAUCUUAAUAAUAACA